rfam:Cucumis melo, WGS project CAJI01000000 data, contig: 03874
UUCAUCAAAUGAUGAAACGAGGAAUAAUCUUAGGACACCUUCCUACACAGCAAAGCCAAGCUGUGGAUGAGAACAAAAUUUCCUUUCUGAUGAUGAU